rnacentral:rRNA from 1 species
CACGUGGGUAACCUGCCCAAGAGACUGGGAUAACACCUGGAAACAGAUGCUAAUACCGGAUAACAACACUAGACGCAUGUCUAGAGUUUAAAAGAUGGUUCUGCUAUCACUCUUGGAUGGACCUGCGGUGCAUUAGCUAGUUGGUAAGGUAACGGCUUACCAAGGCAAUGAUGCAUAACCGAGUUGAGAGACUGAUCGGCCACAUUGGGACUGAGACACGGUCCAAACUCCUACGGGAGGCAGCAGGU